GAAAUGUCAUCAAUUAAAGAUAUUAAGGAAGUGGAAAGAUGGCGGUCGGGUUAGCCCAGGUUGCAAAUAUAUCCGGAUAGGACCUGGAAAACAUAGCGAAAGGAUAAGCGGUUAUAAAGACUUACAGCCCUCGAUUGGUGAAAAUUUGUCGUCUCUUUAGUAUCUUGAACCAAACAGUGAAGUCAUGGUAGUAUCGCAGUAUGACCUGCAGCAGAAUUGUUGAGGAAUAGGUCUAGAGUGUCAAGCUUAUCUUGGGAGAACUGGAAGAGUUUCCAAGGCUUUGUUUUGUAGAAUCUUUCUUUAUGUCUCCUGGUUGUUUUUGUUCCCUGCUGUUUUUUCCAGCCUCACUUAGUUCCUUGCUAAGUUGGGUUUGUUUUGAUGUAUAAAGUUCCUUUUUGCUACUAAAGAAACAAGAAUGUCAUUG